ACGAGUCGAGGGUUGUCGUGGUCCCCUCGGGGGCAUGUGCCGCCUGAGCUCUUAAAUCCACCACACACCUGUGAACCCACCGUGGGCCCUGCGAGGGGCUCGCCUCUAUAUACUCUGCAUGUCUCGUAGAAUGUCAAAUUGUUUGCCUUAAAAACGCAAUCAAAUACAACUUUCAACAACGGAUCUCUUGGCUCUCGCAUCGAUGAAGAACGCAGCGAAAUGCGAUAAGUAAUGUGAAUUGCAGAUUUUCAGUGAAUCAUCGAAUCUUUGAACGCACCUUGCGCCCCUUGGUAUUCCGAGGAGCAUGCCUGUUUGAGUGUCAUUCAAAUCAUCAACCCCGUCGAUCUUUGAUCGGUCGGAGGCUUGGACUUUGGAGCGUGCUGGCCCUGAGGUCGGCUCCUCUUUAAAUGCAUCAGCGGAAAGCCCAUUGACGUUUCCCGUCGGCGUGAUAACACUGUUGCGUCGUCAGGGUCUGGUUGGGGCUCGCUUAUAAUCGUCUUCGGACAACAUCCCAUUUUUGACCUCAAAUCAGGUAGGACUACCCGCUUGAACUUAAGCAUAUCAAUC
rnacentral:misc_RNA from 1 species